AAUCGAUAGCAAACACGGUGUUGCCCAUCGUUAAAUAGCACUCUGAAAAUUGUACAUCGUAUCCAGUCAUUAAAUUACCAUUCACUGCCACAGGAACAGUUAUCCUCGAGAUUGAAUACGAAUCGAGCAAUGGUUGCGAUAACCAAGCGAUAGUAAUCACGAAUUAAUUACAUGAUACCGAUUGCAAAGUGAUCAAGCGUGCAACGACACGUAGCUACGUAUGAAUAACCGUAUGAGCAUGACUAUAUAAAGCCGGCAGGGAUUAGAAAUUUCGUCCCGACUACCGAACCGUACGUGACGCCGGAAAACCUUCACUAAAAUCGGACGUGACAUCGCAUGCAUAUCCGGAAUACGACAGAAGGAAGUCGAUGUAUUGUACGUACGAUACUGUCCUGUCCACGGUACAAAUUAUCCGAUUUUGAACGCUUCGUUCGAUGAAUUCUACCGGGCUACGCUACCGUGAUCGUAGCGUAGUAUAAUAUUAGGUUAGAAACUAAGUAAUUGCGGAUUUUGUCAUUAGAUGGUAUUGACAACAAUCACUUGGUUACUAACCUAAUAGUACAAACGUUGAUCGACAAAUAGAGGGCCAAUGGUCGUGUUUCCUCCUCCAUUAAUUUCCAGAGACGUGAAAAUAGAACAUUAACAAGAGAUCGGAAUUGAAUUGGUGGAAUCAGAGUGGAAGAAACAGAGUGAUGGCAGAACACGAAUCAGAAUAAUCAGUGACUAACCAUUGGAAAAUAAGAGGACACAAAAUAUUACAUGCUUUUGAUGGUUCGCGCGAGCAACAGGCGAGGUAAUCAGCUCGCGUGUAACGCAGCUGUUCAACGACCGAUUAAAGUGCAUAAGCCAAAGACCUAGAAAGACUAGAUUUCACGAAAUUCCAACGAGCGACAAUGAGACAGGCAGGUGUGCGAUCCUUCGCGUUCGCAGAAUCGAGGUCAAAGUAUCGACAUGCUGGGAAUACUAUUAGAAAAGUGAAACCAUGAAAACGGACAACACGAUCGCUGUAGCAAACGUUUACGGUUGUAUGGAACAGGAUCAGAGAUUGUAUCGAGCGUUAAAGUGGAAAUUUUUGGAAAAUGAAAAUUGAACGUUGCAUGGAUAUGUAAUUAAGAGUCAGCUGGUAUCGUGUAACGAUUAGGUGUACAGAAUUUCUCCUAUGAAAUUCAUGCAUUGUAUACGUGUGGCGUGAAGCAAGCUUAUGUGGCUCUGUAUUAAGAGAAAGGGACGCAGAACAAUUUUAUCGUUUACAUGAUAAAUUGGCAUCGGGGUACACUCGUAUGUCAUCGGCAUUGCUAAACCAUUGAGUUUCUCCGAACCGAGUGCUUGUCUUUUAUUCGCAAAUUUUACUCCAUUAUUCCAUUUCCCCUUGCAAUAUUUAGAUAUAUUAAGUUGUGACCUAUGGAAUGUCUGAUUUGCACUGAUUCAUAUCUCCAUGAAUCUUGAAAAGGAUUCGUUUACACAUGUAAACAUUUAAAAAAUUAAUAUCACAUAAGAAAUAGAAGAUCUUCAACAUUAAAAUGACGCAUAAUGAUACAUUCACAAAGAUAAAAAUAUUCAUAUGUUUAAUAGGAAGAUUCACUAAAUUGGUACAGCAAAAUUGAACGUUUCAUACACAAUGUUACAAUUUCUGCUCUUCUAAUUAAUAAAACUAAUUAAUAAAAUAAUUAUAGAAAAAUGUAGUAUGUAGAAGAAAUAUUUAUACAAAUUCGUAUUUGCCCUGAUUCUUGUAUCAAUUGCAGUUAACAAAACCGACAUACGGAAAUCAUACAACGAGCACGGCUACGAAAAGAAAAAGAAAGGAAGCAGAGGGAAGAAAGAAGUUGUAAGAAGUGGAAAGCAUGGAAGAACGACGUAAGAGAAUUUCUCGAAAGUUGUAUCCAGUUAACGCUCGUGCGGAGCAUAAUCACGAGUGGAUACAGCCCUGAGGUCGUUUCAGCUCGGUGGAGAUCGUGCAGCCUCGGCUUCGAAUCCCUGUCAACCGGAUCACAGGCGAAAGGGAGAGGGUAAAAGGCAGGGGCCACCCUUCGUCUCAUCAUCUUUUCGCGCUCAUAGCCGGGCAUAUCUGCUCGGAGCCAGGCCUGUGCUCUCCUCUUCUCGGAGGAAUCGCCUGGAAAAGCUCCGUUUUCCCUCGACCUACCCUCUCCACCCUCGUGUCGCCACCCCCCACCCUCGCCAACAAAGUCUCCCAAUAACGUUAGCCUGCUCCGUUCCUUCUCCGUUCUGGAGCGACGUAUUGAUCGUCUCUCUGCUCUCCUAAAGCCGCGACCGGAGGAGCCUGACAUCCGCUGAGGGAAACGAAGAAUGGAGAGAAAACGCAUCUUCGGAGAGAGAGAGAAAGAGAGAGAGAUGUGAGGGGGUGGCUUCGAUGAAACUGGCUCUGUACAGGCGUAUCUUUGUCGAAACUGCCAGCAGGGAAAAAAUAGAGGACCCACACUGCCAAUGGAAACGGUCACGUCGUCAAGUGGUGCGCGUGCAAAAAGACCAAGGCCAUCUGAUGGUCCGAGGGUGGCAGAGAGGAUAGUUCACCAACAGGAGGAAGAAUUUGAGGUUCGAUUAAAGCGGAAAGUAUGGAACUCUGCUGGGAUUGCAAGCAGAAGAAAUUUCUUCAGAAGAAAUUUCAAUAGAGAUCUGGAAAUGAUUAUCUCAUUGAGGAGCAGCGCUCUGUUGAUACAUUUUUAUUUUCAAUCGAUUUAGAUUAACUUUUUCCUUGCUUCAAUGCUGUGGGUAUAAAAGAGAAUUCCGAGAGUUCGUUUAACAUCUGUUCAUUUGCUAUUUCCUUCGACUAGAUUCUACUGUUUCAGGAAAUUUAUAUAUAUUUUCGUUCGCUUGAUCUCUGCACUCUUCUAAUUAUACGUUAAACACGUUAAAACACGAGAAUUCUCUUUUAUUUCGCAAAAUGGAAGCAAGAUUGAAGUAUAAAAAUUGGAAAAAUGGACUACCAGAAUGAAAAAUGUAUAGAUAAAGGUUAAAAUGGCAGGAAAAAUAACGUUCUAAUGGUUUCUAGUAGCUUGGUAUGAAAAAUAGAAAAGAAUUGCCGAAACGAUGUUAAAUUCAGGCAAAGUAAUUUCCAGCAAUCGAUAUCCAUCAUCAACUUAAACUCUUUUAUCGGAUGAUCUCCAUUAACCUUCUAAUUAACACUGACUACCUUCCAUAAAUCACCCUGCACGCUUUUCCAUCAUCGUACCUACUCGAAUGAAAAUAAAAAUGUUACCUGCUACAUGGCGACACGAUACCAUACUAUAAAUACAGUGGUAGACAGCGUGAAUUGUCACAAAUAUUCGACGGAUGGCGAAAAACAAGUGGCCGGGAACACGAAAGCCGAUAAGCCUUGGGACGACUUAACUCGAUAAAUCGGCGACACGUCGUUCGCCACGGCGUAACUUCAUCCUCGUAUCAUACGUCACUCAACCAACAUUCUGCCUGUCGUCCUCUACUCACGUGCAAUACGUCUUCUGCGAGUUUACCCACGUAUCGUUGCUUGUGAGGCCUCCGUGACGAAGCUUCUCUCUUCUUCUCUUCCUAACUUCUUCCUUGCACACCGGAAACAUCGAACACACAUCUUUUUUAUCUUCACAUUGUUCCAUCGUAUUUGUUGGUCUUUUGACGAAGAGAAAAGCGUCUUCUGAAAUAUGACGAGUAGAACACGUCUUCUUUACUUUCCACGCAACAAGAAUUAACGAUUACAAUGUUCCUAUGUAUUUGGUUUAUAACACCCAGUUAUAUUCGUCACAUGGAUUGUAGUUUUCAUUCCAUAAAGAUAAAAUGAAUUUGUAGCAAAAUUUACUUUGAAUUCUAUUAUAUAUUAGAUUUUUGAAAUAAGAGAAUAAACAGCCAGUGGAAUAUCAAAACAAUAUAGAAAUUGAAGGAUUGAGUCUUCUGUUGUUUGUAAGUAACUUCACGUUUGUAGCUAAUUUUAAAACGUUUCAAACUAAAUAACUAAUUCCACAAAGAUAAAACGUAUUUAU
rnacentral:lncRNA from 1 species